rnacentral:rRNA from 1 species
CCUACGGGUGGCAGCAGUGGGGGAUAUUGCACAAUGGGGGAAACCCUGAUGCAGCGACGCCGCGUGAGUGAAGAAGUAUUUCGGUAUGUAAAGCUCUAUCAGCAGGGAAGAAAAUGACAGUACCUGACCAAGAAGCCCCGGCCAACUACGUCCCAGCAGCCGCGGUAAUACGUAGGGGGCAAGCGUUAUCCGGAUUUACUGGGUGUAAAGGGAGCGUAGACGGUUUUGUAAGUCUGGAGUGAAAGCCCGGGGCCCAACCCCGGGGCUGCUUUGGAAACUGUGUAACUGGAGUGCAGGAGGGGCAGGCGGAAUGCCGGGUGUAGCGGUGAAAUGCGUAGAUAUCAGGAGGAACACCGGCGGCGAAGGCGGCCUGCGGGACUGAAACUGACGUGGAGGCUCGAAAGCGUGGGGAGCAAACAGGAUUAGAUACCCCUGUAGU